AGCGGGAGAGUCAGCCCUGCCGAAACGCCAUCUUUGUUCUGCCUCCAAGCCAAGCCCAACAUCGAAGAUUCCCACCCACUGAGAUUUCAAUCCAGGCCAGUGGAAACGUUCCUGAGGAUCAAGUCAAGUUCUUCGGCUUUUUCCCACCUUUUCACAGCAUUUUCUAACCGAAAACCCCUCAAUAGUCCCCUCCCAGAGGGUCAAAGUGGAGAAUUUUGGCCGUAUCAAAGCACUUCUUUUCAGUGUUUUCCAACAAACGUCUAUCGCAAUUGACACGCUUAACGAAACAGCAUCUUGUGAUGGAAAAGUGUUCUGAUAAAAAAUAUACUAAUCAACCUUAGCCCUACCCGAGAGGCUGCCCAGCCUCCUUUGUGUUCCAGGCUCUGAGCUAGGUGCUUUCAGCCCAUUUAGCUGCAUGUUUUCAGAUACGAUUAAGGGAGUUAAACACCCAAUUCAGCAUGAUUUGGGCCCUUAAAUCCCUUUGGCUCCUUUGAAAAUCCCAGCCUACAUUUCAGCAUGUUGACUUUCACUCUAUAUUUUGGCUUCUUUCUGUCACUGUGCACUGCAGAGUCCCAGACCACACAUGGUCCUCCCUGGUAAACAAGAGAGACACAACUGCAUCUCAAGCUGUGUAGAAGCCAGUCUGUUAGAGUCUAUGAUUAGGUCUGUUACUAAAUGCCCCCUGUUUAAAGGACCGUGAUUCUGUGUCUUGUGACAGUGGGAGGCCUUUUCCAACAAGACAGAUGAAUCCAGAUUCUGAUCUCACUGACACCAACAUAAAUCCCAAGUAACUCUGUUGAUGGAGUCCUGAUUUCACCUGCCCUACAAUCCGUCCCUGUUGUCCUCUCCCAGCGCCUGGCAGUCAGAGAGUUAGGGGCGCCCAGAGCCUGGGGUCACCUCCCAGACCAUCUUGGCUAAUGGCCAUCCUCCAAAUGUCCAUGCUGAGUGACCCCACUAAGACCGAUUCUGAGCCCACGUCACCCUAAAAUUGAAAUCACACGUCACUCUGGAUUGACACCUGUUUAACCGAGCUCGGACUCUUCUACCAGGGGUCUGGGUUCCUGUUCAUGGAUCUUCCCCCAACGCUCACGGGCGUCACUGGUUUUUCUUUUAGGGACAGAGCAAGGCAUCCAGAGGCAGACCCGGCGAUUUAUUAGCCCAGUGGCUUGCAAGGCGGCCCUGAACAUGCUGGAGAACCGGAGCUACUUAAUCUGGGGCCUCAGCACCGACCUGUGGGACCUGAAGACCGAGAUGGCUUACUUGCUCGGGAGCAGCACCUGGAUUGAGCUGUGGCCCAGCAAUGAGGAAUGCCAUGAGGAAUCUUUCCGUGCCCUCUGCUCGGGCCUGGAGGCCUUUGCCCAGCACCUGGUGGCAACCGGCUGCCCUUCGUAGCCAAGGAGAAGAGGACACAGGAACAUCACCGUCUCCCACGACCUAUUUAUAGUGUAACCUGGAACCCCGGCCGAACCUCUGUACAUCCCACCACAGCAGGGGUAGGACUCACACCCUCCUGCAUGCAGCCCCUACCUCUGGAUCUGCAGGAGAAUCUCCUUCAGCUGCUCAUAGUAUAGGGCCUAUGACACACCACGGUGCAGUUCACAUUCCAUCCCGUAGAGGGCAGCGGUGGACACACGCCGCUCACAACGCAGUGCUUUCCAUAGCCCUCCAUUACCCUGGUCUGCGAUUUUGAGAGACUGGGCCAGAUUCGGUCUGUUUUCACAUGGCCACACGCGACCGGCUAGGGAUGACAACGUGACACGAGGCCGAGCUCGGAACGGAGCCGGACCUUGUGUGGGUCAGACCCACCUCUGAGACACCCCAGGGCUUGGUCAUUUCCUUACACCAGGCCACUGAUCUAAUUCCUCAACUGUACACCUGUUGCAAUCCCCCUGAAUCCUUGAUCCACGGGCUUUGUGCCUGCCGGGGGGCUCGCCAGAGGCAUCUGCCUCCUUUGUACCUGAGUUACCCCAUGAACGUGAAUAAAGUUUUGCGGCAGCAGGGGAAGGGCUGUCAGCACCCAA